rnacentral:lncRNA from 1 species
GGUUAAUUAUUUGGAGUUGAAAAAGUAUUUUAUUCAAAUAGAUAUAUAGCCCUAAAGGCAUUUAUAGGGCAAAUGUAUUUUUAUAUAUUUUAUUUUGAGGGGAAACUACUCCCAAAAGUUGUAUCAUGGUAGGACAUGAUUUUACAAAUUUUCUGGUUUUUAUUUGGACCAAUUUGGAGUUCAAACUCAAAAGAUAUCAAAGACAUAAGAAAAGGCAAAAAGAAAAAAAAGGGGUAAACCGGACCGGCCCGGCC